ensembl:lncRNA
GUCAGAGUGACAGGCCCCAUAGACUGAUAUAGGACCAUGCUGGUAGGUCAGAGUGACAGGCCCCAUAGACUGAUAUAGAACCAUGCUGGUAGGUCAGAGUGACAGGCCCCAUAGACUGAUAUAGGACCAUGCUGGUCAGUCAGAGUGACAGGGCCCAUUGACUGAUAUAGGACCAUGCUGGUAGGUCAGAGUGACAGGGCCCAUAGACUGAUAUAGGACCAUGCUGGUUGGUCAGAGUGACAGGCCCCAUAGACUGAUAUAGGAUCAUGCUGGUUGGUCAGAGUGACAGGGCCCAUAGACUGAUAAAGGACCAUGCUGGUAGGUCAGAGUGACAGGCCCCAUAGACUGAUAUAGGACCAUGCUGGUAGGUCAGAGUGACAGGCCCCAUAGACUGAUAUAGAACCAUGCUGGUAGGUCAGAGUGACAGGCCCCAUAGACUGAUAUAGGACCAUGCUGGUAGGUCAGAGUGACAGGCCCCAUAGACUGAUAUAGGACCAUGCUGGUCAGUCAGAGUGACAGGGCCCAUUGACUGAUAUAGGACCAUGCUGGUAGGUCAGAGUGACAGGG